UACGUAGGGGGCAAGCGUUGUCCGGAAUCAUUGGGCGUAAAGAGCGCGUAGGCGGUCCGGUAAGUCAGCUGUGAAAGUCAAGGGCUCAACCCUUGAAAGCCGGUUGAUACUGUCGGGCUAGAGUCCGGAAGAGGCGAGUGGAAUUCCCGGUGUAGCGGUGAAAUGCGCAGAUAUCGGGAGGAACACCUGUGGCGAAAGCGGCGCACUGGACCACAACUGACGCUGAGGCGCGAAAGCUAGGGGAGCAAACAGG
rnacentral:rRNA from 1 species